CCCGGCCCAGCCCCUCCUCACUCCCCUGGACUCUUCCACGGUGUCUCCGGGCCCCUGCACCAUCCUGUGUAACUCUCUGAUGAAAGCGGAGGUGGCAGCAUAAAGAUGAUGGGGGAACUGCCCCGCAUGCCGAGGAAAGCUCGCCCAGCUGCGCAAAAUGCUCUGAUUGACGUCGGGUUUCUGCGCACCAAGCUGAGCCAUGACCAAGGGUUAGAGCCGAGGCGACCCCGGACGUGGGCGCUCCAUCUGCUGCUGCGGUUCCCCCUGUUCUCGGCUAAACCGUGGCUGGAACCGGUGCCCGCCAGAGGUGCAGGAGCCGCCCCGCGGGCAGAAGGAGGCGGUAGCCGUGGUCCCUGAAAACCAGGCCCUGCUGACAAAUCUCAGACGCCAGGAACAGAAGAACCAGGAAAAAUGCCCGACAGCUUGAGCCAGAUGGACGGACUGUUGGAACACCUGAGGGUGAAGCUGCGCGAACUCCUCAAAGAGGAACAGCAAAGCAGCCACCAAGAUGGACCAGAAAGAUGAACAAAGAAAAUUAGCAGCAAUCAAAGGCAGAUGCUAAAGCAGUACAAAACCGUUCACACAACGAUAGAGACGGAAUUGAUGAAGAAGUCUGAUAAAUGAAUGACAGAGUGAAAGGACAGCAGUGACCAUGGUAAGGUGCUGACGAUUCUGGUCCACUGGAUCCCAUCAUCCCUAGGACAGUAAAUCUCAUCGCAGUCGCCACUCAGCAAGUUACCACUGCAGCAUUUCCUGUUUGUUCCAAAAUGAAUAAAGGUGAUUCUCAUCACAAGGGCAAAUACAGAGUAGUUUAUUAUUAUUAUUUUUAACUAAACUGUAGCUGUAGCUGUUUAGUUUACUUGUUCUAAGUUCUUAUAAUUUUGAAAAUACAGUUGACACUUGUAUGACUUAUGAGGUUUUUGAUAGUCUAAUGUCGUUUGAUGUUCAAAGAACAGUAUAUUUUAAAUUAAGAAGAAUAAACUGUGUGUAUUUGUUUUAUAUAUUUAAGGCUUAGAGGCACAAUGCUUCUGCUUAUGAUUUGAAAACUUCAAAGGUUGGUUUUCCAUCUGUUCAUACACAAAACAGUGUAUCGUGGUGAAAUGUUUGUUUUUUUUAAAGUGGCAGCCACAGUUCCUGUCUGUCCGGAUAUAUUUUGGACUUUUGUAUGUUAAGCAGAAGAAAGAAACUUCGUUUUGUUUUAGGUAAUCUAAGAUUGUUGUACGCACACAAAAAAACUUCACAGAUUACUGUAGGGUUCAGCAAACUGUUUAUAUAGUGUAACAUUAGUAUCUCUAUUUUCUGAUGUCUAGAUUUUUUUUAGAAAAGAUUGUUUUCGUUUUUGUUUUUUUAACAAAUGUCUCCACAAAUUCUGGCUUAUUUUAUAAAAUUGCAGAAUACUAAAGAACUGGGUGCUUUGCCAUACUAUAUGAAUACUGGCACUCAAUUAAAAUAUCAAAUAUUUUAAUCAAAAUUUAGAUUUAAAUAAUGUCUUGAUUUUUCACUACAGUGAUAGACAUUCACAAAUAUUUCAUAUAUUAAAGCUAUCAGUAUUAGGUUUUACUUAGUAGUAAUAUAUAUAUAAGAUCAAGAAUCUGUUCAAAAUGGAUAUCUUUCAUCAAUAAUUUGGUGCUUUCAAAUACCCAGAAGUCUUGUUUUAAUCAUAUUAAGUCUGAGAAUAAUUUACUAAUUUCAUUUUUGGAAUAAUGUGUUCAAAAUUUUCCAGUUUAACCUAGUAUUGACUGAAGAUGGGUAAACAAAUCGAUUUACUUUUCAAAUCUCAUAGGCCUAUCGUGUUGCUGAAGAUGUUUUCAAUUCUCCCUUUCAAUAUUGUUUACAGGAAUGCAGGUCUAGUCCAAUCUGCUCAACCUGUUAAUCAGUGUCAGCUGCCAGAUUCAAAUUCAUUUUUAGUGUGCCUGUACUUUUCUUUCCAUAACCUCUGAAUUCAUUUCAUUUACUGAUUUAAAUGUGAUAUAAUACAGCUCAUACAUUUAAAACAAAACCAGCAGGUAAAAUGAGUUCUGGCUUAGUAUAAAGAAGCUGUUACUGAGUUACAUCAUACAGGUGGAUGCAGCUCCACAAAAUUUUAGACAAAAAAAGUUGGACUGAACUAUAUUGUGUGUUGCUAUGACUUAGCCUCUAGUGCCCUUAAGAAUAAAGACAAAUUUCAGCAAAUUUAUCCAGUUGCUUUCAGUACGUCUAAAGGUAACAUAUCAAGAAUUCUCAUGCUACUGCCUGAGAAAACAGAUUCUACUGUUACCUAAUAAAUCAAAAUCAACUGGAUGGCAUUUUUGUAGCCUUGCACCACAUAAAGAGAAACUGCAAUGUAGGACUAAUAAACGCAGACUCCAUCACAAGGAAAAGGGUAAUCCAGAACGUCACUUUCAAAAUUUAAGUAUUUAAACUUUUAGUAGAAAAAUGUGGUAAAAGAGUGCUUUUGGUAAGCUUUGUGUAGUUUAACAUCAGCAUGAAGUAGAAAAAAUCUUUAAAAAUGUAAACAAACAAAACCAUACACCAAAAAAACUAAUAUUCACCAGUGCAUACAUAUUGAUCUUUGUGUUGGGAGAGUCUAAAGCAGAACAUUUGGUGAACUUGAUAAAAUUAUUUUAAUCACAUUGGCAUACUGAUAAAAUUAUUUAUAUUUGGCCAGGUGCCGGGGCUCACACCUGUAAUCCCAGCACUUUGGGAGGCUGAGGUGGGUGGAUCACGAGGUCAGGAGUUCGAGACCAACCUGAACAAAUGGUGAAACACCAUCUCUACUAAAAAUACAAAAAUUAGCUGGGCAUGGUGGCUCAUGCCUGUAAUCCCAGCUACUCAGGAGGCUGAGGCAGGAGAAUCCCUUGAACUCAGGAGUCAGAGGGUGCAGUGAGCUGAGAUCGCGCCACUGCCCUCCAGCCUGGGUGGCAGAGUGAGACUAUGUCAUAACAAAAAAAAUUUAUUUAUAUUUAAUUUGACUAAAACAUGUUCACAUCUUAAAAAUACUGCUUUGUACCAUGAAUAAUAAAUGUAAAGUCUUUAUCCUCAAACGGAUUCUGAUUGUCAACUCAAUACAUAUGGCAACCCAUUUCUCUGGUUUCUCCAAACUGAAGUCUCAUGAAGGCUCAAAUAUGGAGUGAGAGGGACUCAACAACAGACCAUGAGAAGCAAGAAGGAUGAGGUAGGAUGGUCAGCUCUAAGGCUCAGGGAUUCCUGGGGACCCCAAUAUAAUGACGUCAGCUAUGAAGCUUACUAACUGAAAAUAAGCAUAAGCAGCUGAAAACUCCAUGGCUUCGCUUCGGUGGGAAGGAGUCUCUGGAAUUACAGUCAUGCCAAAAGGAUUGAGCCAGAAUGACAUGUAUCUAAAGAUUAUUAGAGGGGACUGUUCAUAAGCACAUAAACAUUUGUUCCAAAUAUUAUUACAGUAGCAAUAUCCUUUUCUGUAAUAUCAGCUUCCCCAAGAUAGGGUUGCCAUAGACAAAUUAAGACAAGUGCCUAAUAUGUUGUAGGUAAUUGGUUUCUAAAUUUAAAAAACUUGCAAUAAUUUCAUGAAUCUCAUUAAACUCUGUUUGUGUAUAAAUCUCACUGAAAGGCAGUAUCCAUUAGCUAUUUUCCUUAGUCCUUUUGGGAUUUUCUGUUGCUUGAUUCCAAACCAAACUUAUUUUAAUCCUAGUUGUUUCUAAAUCCCCAGAUGUAAUAACAGACAGCAGAAAUGAACCCAAGUUACCCCAAACAGUCAACGUCUAAUAUAUUUUGUUCCCCAAAUGAGCCAAAAACCACACAAGCUAAAAAACAGUGGGUUUAAAAUUUAACCUAAAUUUAACAGUAGCAGUUUUACCAUAUGUAAAAAUUGGCAAAGUCAUAACUUAAA
rnacentral:lncRNA from 1 species